UUGUGGGGAGUAAGUGCUGGGAGGCAUUUGCAGAGCCCAGAAUGGGGGUUCCCAGUUGGGACCCUGACCCUGGAAGGGGCCUUUAAGGUGAGGGCCGAGCUGGGAGCAGGUGCAUGGUCUAGGACAGGAGCCUCUCCCACAGGGAGACAGCACACGCACGUGGCCUGGGCUGGGAGCCUGUGAACCACUUGGGAGCUGGAUGUGUGGAUUCAGAAUGCCCGGCCAUGGAGAUUAGGCCGGCGACAGGAGAGCUGUUUGGUGGAGCGGGGACCAGGGACACCCAGUAGCCUCAAGUGCUCUGUGCUCUGGGCUUCGUCCAGAGGGUGGUGGGGAGCCACUGAUGUGUGCCCCCCUAACAGAGCUUGCAGGGGGAGGCUCCUCCUCCUCCCUCCCACCCUGUGGCCUCAUCACUCUCAGAGCAUCACCAUCUUCCUAGUGGCCGAGGUCUACGCUGGCCCAUUAGGAUCCACAGGAACGAACAGGAACCCCUUUGGGAAGUUUUCAAGGCUUACGAGCACUUGGCUUGAUACACCUGAGUGAGAUACUGUCAACUCUUCUCCAGUAUGUCCUUGCACGUUUACAGUCUCAUCUCCUGCAGGCUUCUGCUGCUCCCCUGCUCCGUCAACAAGGGGUCGUAAAGACCGUCUCCAUCGCUUCUUCCGUUGGUGGGGCGGCCUCUCCUCUCACCAUGGUGGCCCCGAAGCACCCAGAGUUCUCUGGCCACGCGGGACUCUAAGUCAGGAGUCAGCGAACAAGUGUCGGCACCGAACAGCCUGGAGGAAAAGCAGCCUCGUUCUGUUACCUUCCGUUGGUUCCCCAGAGCCCGGUCCCUGCAGCCUGCGGGGAGAGCCACAGAUCCCCACUCUGAAUCUGGGCAGAGUCACAGCGUUUGCCCCUGUGUGGUUUAAACUACCACAAGUGCUACGUUUAAUUGUUC